rnacentral:rRNA from 1 species
GACGAACGCUGGCGGCGUGCUUAACACAUGCAAGUCGAACGGAAAGGCCUUUUCGGAGGUACUCGAGUGGCGAACGGGUGAGUAACACGUGGGUGAUCUGCCCUGCACUCUGGGAUAAGCCUGGGAAACUGGGUCUAAUACCGGAUAGGACCGCACUUUAGUGUGUGUGGUGGAAAGUUUUUUCGGUGUAGGAUGAGCCCGCGGCCUAUCAGCUUGUUGGUGGGGUAAUGGCCUACCAAGGCGGCGACGGGUAGCCGGGCUGAGAGGUUGGUCGGCCACAUUGGGACUGAGAUACGGCCCAGACUCCUACGGGAGGCAGCAGUGGGGAAUAUUGCACAAUGGGCGCAAGCCUGAUGCAGCGACGCCGCGUGGGGGAUGACGGCCUUCGGGUUGUAAACUCCUUUCGCCAGGGACGAAGCGUUUUGUGACGGUACCUGGAGAAGAAGCACCGGCUAACUACGUG